rfam:Stegodyphus mimosarum contig54045, whole genome shotgun sequence.
GCCUUCGUGGUGUAGUGGUCAGCAUCAUCGGUGAGUAUUCGAGAGGUCCGUGGUUCGAGUCCCGGCGAGAGCA